rnacentral:rRNA from 1 species
GCAAGUCGAACGGAAACGACUAGAGCUUGCUCUAGGGCGUCGAGUGGCGGACGGGUGCGUAACGCGUGGAAAUCUACCUAUAAGCUGGGGAUAAGCUUUGGAAACAGAGUCUAAUACCGAAUAAGCUUUAGUCUGUAAAGAAUAAAGUAAAGAGUGCCUCUCCUUGGAAGCAGUCACUUAUAGAUGAGUCUGCGUUGGAUUAGCUAGUUGGUAGGGUAAAGGCCUACCAAGGCAACGAUCCAUAGCUGGUUUGAGAGGAUGAUC